rnacentral:rRNA from 1 species
CUGCUGCCUCCCGUAGGAGUCUGGGCCGUAUCUCAGUCCCAAUGUGGCCGGCCAACCUCUCAGUCCGGCUACUGAUCGUCGCCUUGGUAGGCCGUUACCCUACCAACUAGCUAAUCAGACGCGAGGCCAUCUCUCAGCGAUAAAUCUUUGGUAUCCAUGCCAUGCGACACAAAUACGUUAUGCGGUAUUAGCAGUCGUUUCCAACUGUUGUCCCCCACUGAAAGGCAGGUUCCUCACGCGUUACUCACCCG